UCCGACCUCCUCCCGCACAGAACCCCGCAGCCCCAAUCCUCCUCCUGCCUCCUUCCUCCUCGCGCCACCGGAUCCCCACCCCAUCACGCGCCGCUGGAGCACCGUCUCGCCACGCGCCGCCGGAGCCCCGCCCCGCGCUGCUGGAGCCCCGCCCCGUCCCGCCGCUGCCGCCUAGCCCAGGUACCAACGGAUCCGGCGACAUCCCCAUCGCCAGCCACACAAUCUCCACCGGCGCAGUGGAGCAGCACCACGACCGUGGCCAUGGACAUGCGAGGGGAUCCCGGGGCUAGUGCAGCCAUGGCCUGGAGCUCGCCCCUUCUCCUGCGCGGGGACGCCAGCUACCGCAGAGCCCAGCUACCAACGGAUCCCCACCGCCAGGCACGCCACCUCCUGUUGCAGUCCUCCCUCAAGUGCGCCAGGGCACGCGAUGCGGUUUGGCGCUCGUGGCCGUGCAGGUGCAUUACCCCCCGCUCCCAACAACCACGAGCAGCAGCGCGUAUGGCAGUGGACACAACCGAGUAUCCUUCUCCUCUGCUCCCUUCCUCAGCCAACAUCCAUGGAGGUGCAUGUGACGUCGUGACGACGAGUUCAUUCUCUGUUGGCAAGGUAAUGCAUUUUUCAGUAUGGUGUGCAGUUCCAUCAGUGUGGUCGUGCAGCACGCGGGCGUGGGUUUGCAAUGUGGUGCCCAUCUACGUGCAGCCCACGAGAAGGCGACUGGUACUAAAGAUGCUACAUCCAUGAUAGUGGCAAGAAGAGGAUGAGGAUCAACACACCUGCCCCCAUGCAGUUCACUCGACGCGCCCGUGUGGUGCGGAGCGCAUCUGCGUGCAGUACGCCCGCCAACCAACUCCACCACGCCCACAAUCCACCCCGUGGUCCAAUGCAAUCCGACGACUCGAUGCAUGUAGCUCGCAUGGUGCGUGUGUGCAGUUUUCAGGCUCGCAGGUGUGUGGUUCUACCAACGACCAACUCCACCGCGGCCCAGCACUCACGCCGGGGAGCUCCUGGACUUCAGCGUCGAGGCGUUCAACAACUGACGCAGAGAUGGGAACGGAUACGGCCGCCUUUCCUCAUCGUCUUCAUUGGAAAGCACACCCAGUGGCUGCUCGCGGGCGUGCUGCGUGCCGUUCGGCAUCAGCAGCAAUGCGGUUCAGAAUCGCGGUUUGCUUCUGGGUGGCCAAAGGCAGCGACAGCCCAUGACUUUGGCCUUUCCCAGCCCGCUGCCAUGAGCUCCCAGGGGAAGGAAGACGUGAUGUGCUUGCAUCCGCCUGCGAGAUGCCACCGCUUGGCGUACACAUUUUUUCUCUUCAUUGGAAUUGUUUUCACGGGAAUGCUAGAUCCUAGCAGGCAUGCAGUAUAGCCGGUGCUAGCGGUCCAUAUCUUUGUUUUUGUCUCACUGUCUCUCUUUUUUUGUAUCUUCUUUUUGAGUGUAGUGAUGUGGGGGUUGGACUUGCAGUGCACUGGCGACCGGCUUGCAUUUCAUGAAAAAAUUGUGGAUUUAUACUCUUAAGUCCCUCGUCAUUGUAAUUUGUAUGUGUUUGUACUCUGGAUAAACAAGGAGCAUUAGAGUUUUGCAGCUC